AUUGAACGCUGGCGGCAGGCCUAACACAUGCAAGUCGAGCGAGCGGCGGACGGGUGAGUAAUGUAUGGGGAUCUGCCCGAUAGAGGGGGAUAACUACUGGAAACGGUGGCUAAUACCGCAUACUAUCGGAUGAACCCAUAUGGGAUUAGCCAGUAGGUGGGGUAAAGGCUCACCUAGGCGAGGAUCUGUAGCUGGUCUGAGAGGAUGACCGGCCACACUGGAACUGAGACACGGCCCAUACGCCUACGGGAGGCAGCAGUGGGGAAUAUUGCACAAGUGGCGCAAGCCUGAUGCAGCCAUGCCGCGUGUAUGAUGAAGGCCUUAGGGUUGUAAAGUACUUUCAGCGGGGAGGCGUUACCCGCAGAAGAAGCACCGGCUAACGCCGUGCCAGCAGCCGCGGUAAUAC
rnacentral:rRNA from 1 species